rnacentral:snRNA from 1 species
AUACUGACCUGGCAGGGAAGACACCAUGAUUAUGAAGAUGAUUUUCACAGGGUGGGGUUUGUCCAUUGCACCCUGCAAUUUCCCCAAAUGGGGGAAACUCGACUGCCUAAGUUGUGGUAGUGGGGUGCUGCAUUCAUGUUCUCCCCUA